GGAAAGCUCAGUGGCAGCGCAUCUGCUUUGCAUGCAGCAAACCUCAGGUUCAAUCCCUGGCAGCUCCA